rnacentral:tRNA from 1 species
UAUUUGUUGGUGUAUAGGGCACAUAAAGUUUUGAUCUUUAAAGGAGUGGUGUAAAUCCACUAUAAAUAA